ensembl:lncRNA L3MBTL2-AS1 L3MBTL2 antisense RNA 1
GUCAUUGUUCAGGGCACUCCCCAGAGUUCAGUGGCAGUUCUGAAAGGAGGAGAGGAAGUGGCUUACUCUGGGUAAAAGACUCCCUACUUCCUCAAGACUAAAGAGGCCUCCUCCUGGAUUUCCCGGAGCUUAGGGACGUGGUGUGAAGACAAAACAAGAGUGCUGUUGUGGGCUCUGCUCUCCCGGCCUGCAGGCUCCACACGUCACAGCUGCUGGAUAUUCGGUUCUUGCGCUCAAGCCCCGCCCCUAAGGGCCUUGCCCUUCGUUCUGGCUUUUACAUGAUCCGCAUCGAGGAGCCUUUUACAGAAGUGGCUCCAGGAGCAUCCACAUCUGCCUCUCGGGGCCCACGGGGCCCAGGCCAGCUACAGAAGCACCCUGCUUUCCAUGGGAAAAUGCUGCAAAUGGGGGAGAAAGGAGAGAAGGGUUUCAGACUGCAAAGACCCUUCGACAUCAGCUAGCACCAAGUUCCAUCAUGUAAAUAAACUGAAGGGCUUCAGACCGGGAGUGAAGCCAAGCAGGUGAUAGAAGUGUUUGUAGGAGGAUUUUUUUGACAUAAACAUGAAAUGGAGCGAGUGGUAACGCCAUCCGUCUCCUGCCCAGACCUCCCCACUGUCACUGUCCAGCCUGAAGCCGCCCUGGUGAAGCAGGUGGAGGAGCAGCUCCAGGCCCGGCUCCCCGGCCUCCCUCCCUCAGCUCCAGGGCACUCACGUGCUUGAAACAGCUGACGGGAGCAGCCUUGUAACUGUGAUCCUUCAGGAACUUCCCCCAGUCGAAGCCCAAGACCAGAGCUGCAGAGCAGAGAGGACGAGUCAGACUAGGAGCCUGCGCAGCAGCCACUCCAGGAGCCUGGACCCCAAGGGCCCUGUGGGACCUGCAGAGGUGAUCCCAACAUGCAGGCAAAUUUGGGAAGCAGUGUUGCAGAUGCUGGUCCCAGCUACUGGGAAACAAGGUAAGAUGAGGCCCCUGAGAUGAGGUUCCAGCCUCAAUUCCGCCAUUCUCCUCCUACAGAGCCACACUAGGUAUGUCAUUCUACCUCCUUGGACCUCAGUAUACUUAUCAAUAAAUGUGUGGGUUCAACACCACAUCCAAGAAUCUUUCCAUCUCUAAAGAUUCUAUAAAUAUCAGUAAUUUAGAAAAUUGGCAAGACUUUCUAGGUAGCUGCCUGUGACAUGGAGUCCGAGGAGGCAUGGUCUUCCUGAAGCCACCGUGGCUGGUGAACCUUGGGCCUGUUUCCCAACUUCCUUUGAAAGGAUUUAUAAAAGUGUGGGGUGAAGACCAAGGGUGUCAGACUCCCCCAUAGUUCUUGUUUAAAAUGUACUGAAUACACCAGACUCUGGGGGAUGAUGGUAGGUAAUGGAGCGUAGCUUCAGGAACCUAUAAUUUAAAAAGCUCCACAAAUGGAUUCUACUGUCCUCUGAAGUUUGAGAACAUAAUAAAUACCAGCUGGCCACAAGCAAGGACCUUUUCAAACUUUCCUGGCCCUGGCCUUCAGUCACUUGGUGGUUCCUGUCUCAGCACCAAAGGCACCGGGAAGGAUCCAAGUGAUUGCCUCUCACCUGUAACCUAGCCAAGAUACUGGCUUUCUUGGAGUUGGAGGAGUAGCUCCUGGAGCAGGAGACGCUGCAGAACCUCUUGGUCUUGGAGAAGAAGGCUUCCCUUGUACCCACGAUACCACACAUCUCACAGACAGCUGGGAAGAGAACUUAGCACAUGACUCACCCGAUAUGACCACCUCAAAGCAAACAAAGUGAUGGGCCCUUCAAAACCUGGGGCACUGCAUUAACCAGGUGAGCCCCUGCCCCCACAAAGGCUAAUGGAAUAAGAGGAGGAAUGGGAGGUACUGGUGUGUAUAUCCUGAAUCUACCUGAAUGAAGUGCUGCUGCUUGGCCUCCCUUGGCUACAGAUGUCAACAGAGGGGCUAAUGGAAAUCCAUGAGGACGACUGGGGGAACAGGGGACACUCUGAAGGCACCUGGCUCAGAACCACUGCCAUCCAAGGAGCGAGGAGUCCCAGGGCUGAGCAAAUGCAGCGGGGAGGUCGGCAGUUCCCCUGCUUCCCGAUCCUCAUUUUCUGCUUCACUUGACUCCUCCAGAUAGGAGCUGCUCUCACUGCCCACACUGCUGUUAUAACUCCGGAAACUAUCAUAGCCACCAAACAGCUCCAAGUCGUCAUCUUCCUCUUCCUCCAUUGGUUCUGAAGAUGGGGUCUCCUAAUGGAGGAUGACACAAACCAGGUAGAAAGAAUUAUGAUUGGCUUUAGUGCACGGGGGGAGAAGCUGCAGAUCUGCUAUCAGCCCCCUCACACUUUCGGGAACCUUUCAAAUACCCCUUUUACAAACACCAAGAUCAUUACUUCUAUUUACACAUUUCUCCACCAUGAUGCAAUUCAACAGCUUAACAAGACAGAAAAUAUGUGUUAGGAAUUCACCAGGCUCCUCUGUGGAUUUACAAAUGAUGAUAUUUUAACAUGGUUCAAAUAGAAUACUGUAUAACAAUGUGGGCCAGGUGCGGUGGCUCAUGCCUGUAAUCCUAGCACUUUGGGAGGCCGAGGCUGGCAGAUCACCUGAGGUCAGGAGUUCGAGACCAGCCUGGCCAAGAGGGUGAAACCCUGUCUCUACAAAAAAAUACAAGAAAAAAUUAGCCAGGCGUGGUGGCGGGCACCUGUAGUCCAGCUACUUGGGAGGCUGGGGCAGAGAAUUGCUUGAACCCAGGAGGCAAAGGUUGUAGUGGGCCAAGAUCGUGCCACUGCACUCCAGUCUGCGUGACAGAGCAAGACUCCAUCUCAAAAAAAAAAAAAAAGUGAAAUAUCCUAAGGUACUUCACAAAGACUUUCUGGGGUAGAAGAUAUAUUAGAAAUUAAUUCUUAGCCAGGCACAGUGGCCCACACCUGUAAUCCCAGCACUUUCCGAGGCCAAGGUGGGUGGAUCACGAAGUCAGGAGUUCAAGACCAACCUGGCCAAGAUGGUGAAACCCCGUCUCUACUAAAAAUACAAAAAUUGGCUGGGUGUGGUGGCGGGUGCCUGUAAUCCCAGGUACUUGGGAAGCUGAGGCAGAGAAUUGCUUGAACCCGGGAGGUGGAGGUUGCAGCGAGCUAAGAUCGCGCCACUGCACUCCAGCCUGGUAAUGGAGUGAGAUGCUGUCUCAAAAAGAAAAACAAAAAUUCUUCCCCGUUCAAUAUACAUCAAAAUGAUCUCAACUCAGAAACAAUUUAAGUCACAGAAAAGUUAAUUUGGGACCUAGACUGCUCCAAAGAGGAUGGGAGAGGCAGAUGACACACAGAUAACUGUGGCAUCUUGGUGUGUACUACAGCGCUAGAUUCAGCUCUGAGCCUAACUAGCUAUAGGGCCUUGGGCAAGUCAUUUAACUUCUGUGGGCUUCAACUUUCUCAUCUAUAAAAUAAAAAUAUUUGACUCGUGAGAUGCAAAUGAGAUAAUGUAUAUGAAUCUACCCAGCAUGUAACAGAAAACGUGUGAAGAGCCUGGGUACGGUGGUUCACAUCUGUAAUCCCAGCACUUUGGGAGGCUGAGGCAGGUGGAUUGCUUGAACCCAGGAGUUUGAGACCAGCCUUGGCAACACAGCCACACCCCAUCUCUACAAAAGAAAAAAAAAUUAGCCAGGUGUGGUGGCAUGCGCCUGUAGUCCCAGCUUCUUGGAGCUGAGGUGGAAGGACUGCUUGAGCCUGGGAGGUCAAGGCUGUAGUGAGCCAUAACCAUGCCACUGCAAUCCAGCCUGGGCAAGAGAAUGACAUCCUGUCUCCAAAGAAAAAGAAAAAAAAGCUGGGUGCGGUGGCUCACACCUAUAAUCCCAGCACUUUGGGUGACCGAGGCGGGCGGAUCACUUAAGACCAGGAGUUCAAGACCAUCCUGGCCAACAUGGUGAAAUCCCAUCUCUAGUAAAAAUACAAAAAAUAGCUGGGCAUGAUGGUGGGUGCCUGAAAUCCCAGCUACUCGGGAGGCUGAGGCAGGAGAAUCACUUGAACCCAGGAGUUGGAGGUUGCAGUGAGCCGAGAUUGCACCACUGCCCUCCAGCCUGGGCAACAGAGUGAGACUCCUUCUCAAAAAAAAAAAGCUGGGUGGUGGUGGCAUGCACCUGUGGCUCUAGCUACUCAGAAGGCUGAGGUGGGAAGACAGCUUGAGCCUGGGAGGUCAAGGCUGCACUGAAUCAUGAUCACACCAUUGCACUCCAGCCUGGAUGACAGAGGGAAGACACUGUCUCAAAGGAAAAAAAAGGUGUGAAGAAAGGAGAAAAGUUUGGCCUCUGGUCCAGAGCUCAAAUAUCUCUAGUGCUUACUCGCUGUAUGACCUGCAGCAAGUC